UUUCCGUAGGUGAACCUGCGGAGGGAUCAUUCCUAAUCAGUGAUUUAUGGCACUUUUUGAAAUCAAAAUCGACCUCGUGUGGAAUGUCAGUGUUGAUAUUUCUCUCGAGAUGAUCAUCUCCAAACAUGAACUCUAUCUCACCUCUUUGUCUGAAAAAUGUUAUGAAUAAAACAAUUACAAAUACAACUUUCAACAACGGAUCGCUUAGCUCUCGAACCGAUGAGGAACGCAGCAGAUCGGAAUACCAUACGCCUUCACUCCAGUCACUCAUAGUCA
rnacentral:misc_RNA from 1 species